UGAGUACGAGAUGCUACGGCAUCGAAGCAGUCUAUGUCAUACUUCCAAGAAAAGCUUGCACUGUCAUAAACAAAGAAUGCCUGUACCAUAACCGACACAGGUGGGUAGGUAGAGUAUACUAAGGGGCGCGAGAUAACUCUCUCUAAGGAACUCGGCAAAAUGACUCCGUAACUUCGGGAGAAGGAGUGCCUUAUUUCUAAGGUUGCAAUAACAAGAUCCAAGCAACUGUUUACCAAAAACACAGGUCUCCGCUAAGUCGUAAGACGAUGUAUGGGGGCUGACGCCUGCCCAGUGCCAGAAGGUUAAAGAAGUUGGUUAGCAUUAGCGAAGCUGAUAACUGAAGCCCUGGUGAACGGCGGCCGUAACAAUAACGGUCCUAAGGUAGCGAAAUUCCUUGUCGGGUAAGUUCCGACCCGCACGAAAGGCGUAAUGAUUUGGAUACUGUCUCGGAGAGGGGCUCGGUGAAAUAGACUUGUCUGUGAAGAUGCGGACUACCUGCACCUGGACAGAAAGACCCUAUGAAGCUUUACUGUAACUUGAGAUUGAAAUUGGACUUUAUUUGCGCAGUAUAGGUGGGAGGCGUUGAGAAUAAUCUUGCGGGAUUGUUGGAGCCAUCAGUGAGAUACCACUCUUGUAAUGUUAGAUUUCUAACUUUGUAUCAUUAUCUGGUCAAAGAACAGUUUCAGGCGGGCAGUUUGACUGGGGCGGUCGCCUCCCAAAGGGUAACGGAGGCGCACAAAGGUUUCCUCUGAACGGGUAGAAAUCGUAUCUAGAGUGUAAAGGCAUAAGGAAGCUUGACUGUGAGACCUACAAGUCGAGCAGGGACGAAAGUCGGUCUUAGUGAUCUGACGGUGCUGAGUGGAAAGGCCGUCACUCAACGGAUAAAAGUUACUCUAAGGAUAACAGGCUGAUCUCCCCCAAGAGUUCACAUCGACGGGGAGGUUUGGCACCUCGAUGUCGGCUCAUCGCAUCCUGGGGCGGUAGUCCGUCCCAAGGGUUGGGCUGUUCGCCCAUGAAAGCGGUACGCGAGCUGGGUUCAGAACGUCGUGAGACAGUUCGGUCCAUAUCCGGUGUAGGCGUUAGAAUAUUGAGAGGAGCCUUCUCUAGUACGAGAGGACCGAGAAGGACAUACCUCUGGUGUACCAGUUAUCGUGCCAACGGUAAACGCUGGGUAGCUAUGUAUGGAGUGGAUAACCGCUGAAAGCAUCUAAGUGGGAAGCCCACCUCAAGAUAAGUAUUCAC
rnacentral:rRNA from 1 species